CAACGUCUUCAGGGCGGGGCGCAAUUCCCCACCGGCGGUAGGUGUCUUCGGACACGAGCCCGCGAGCGCUUUCGCAGCCGCGAAAGGUCAGCAGAUCCGGUCGAAUGCCGGAGCCGACGGUCGGCAGCAGGUCAGCGCUGCCGGAAAGUCCGGAUAAAACGAAGACGGCU
rnacentral:ncRNA from 2 species